rnacentral:rRNA from 1 species
UACGGAGGGGGUUAGCGUUGUUCGGAAUGACUGGGCGUAAAGCGCGCGUAGGCGGAUCGGAAAGUUGGGGGUGAAAGCCCAGGGCUCAACCCUGGAACGGCCUUCAAGACUUCCGGUCUAGAGUUCGAGAGAGGUGGGUGGAAUUCCGAGUGUAGAGGUGAAAUUCGUAGAUAUUCGGAGGAACACCGGUGGCGAAGGCGGAUCUCUGGGCCAUUACUGACGCUGAGGAGCGAAAGCGUGGGGAGCGAACAGG